rnacentral:rRNA from 1 species
GACAGAGGGUGCAAACGUUGCUCGGAAUCACUGGGCGUAAAGGGCGUGUAGGCGGGAAGGAAAGUCAGAUGUGAAAUCCCUGGGCUCAACCCAGGAACUGCAUUUGAAACUCCCUUUCUUGAGUGUCGGAGAGGAAAGCGGAAUUCCUGGUGUAGAGGUGAAAUUCGUAGAUAUCAGGAGGAACACCGGUGGCGAAGGCGGCUUUCUGGACGAUCACUGACGCUGAGACGCGAAAGCGUGGGGAGCGAACAGG